CCUACGGGAGGCAGCAGUGGGGAAUCUGGRCAAUGGGCGAAAGCCUGAUCCAGCGACGCCGCGUGGGUGAAGAAGGCCUGCGGAUUGUAAAGCCCUGUCGGUGGGGAAGAAAGGCCUCGAGUUAAUACCUCCGGGUCUUGACGUAACCCAUAAAAAAAGCCCCGGCUAACUCUGUGCCAGCAGCCGCGGUAAU
rnacentral:rRNA from 1 species